rnacentral:rRNA from 1 species
GACGAACGCUGGCGGCGUGCCUAAUACAUGCAAGUCGAGCGAAGUUUUUCUGGUGCUUGCACUAGAAAAACUUAGCGGCGAACGGGUGAGUAACACGUAAAGAACCUGCCUCAUAGACUGGGACAACUAUUGGAAACGAUAGCUAAUACCGGAUAACAGUAUUUCUCGCAUGAGAGAUAUUUAAAAGUUGGUUAUGCUAACACUAUGAGAUGGCUUUGCGUUGCAUUAGCUAGUUGGUGGGGUAAAGGCCCACCAAGGCGACGAUGCAUAGCCGACCUGAGAGGGUGAUCGGCCACACUGGGACUGGGACACGGCCCAGGCUCCUACGGGAGGCAGCAGUAGGGAAUCUUCCGCAAUGGGCGAAAGCCUGACGGAGCAACGCCGCGUGAGUGAAGAAGGAUUUCGGUUCGUAAAGCUCUGUUGUUAGGGAAGAAUGGAUAUGUAGUAACUAUACAUGUAAGAGACGGUACCUAGCCAGAAAGCCACGGCUAACUACGUG